rnacentral:rRNA from 1 species
UGCUAUACAUGCAGUCGAGCGGACAGAAGGGAGCUUGCUCCCGGAUGUUAGCGGCGGACGGGUGAGUAACACGUGGGUAACCUGCCUGUAAGACUGGGAUAACUCCGGGAAACCGGAGCUAAUACCGGAUAGUUCCUUGAACCGCAUGGUUCAAGGAUGAAAGACGGUUUCGGCUGUCACUUACAGAUGGACCCGCGGCGCAUUAGCUAGUUGGUGAGGUAACGGCUCACCAAGGCGACGAUGCGUAGCCGACCUGAGAGGGUGAUCGGCCACACUGGGACUGAGACACGGCCCAGACUCCUACGGGAGGCAGCAGUAGGGAAUCUUCCGCAAUGGACGAAAGUCUGACGGAGCAACGCCGCGUGAGUGAUGAAGGUUUUCGGAUCGUAAAGCUCUGUUGUUAGGGAAGAACAAGUGCAAGAGUAACUGCUUGCACCUUGACGGUACCUAACCAGAAAGCCACGGCUAACUACGUGCCAGCAGCCGCGGUAAUACGUAGGUGGCAAGCGUUGUCCGGAAUUAUUGGGCGUAAAGGGCUCGCAGGCGGUUUCUUAAGUCUGAUGUGAAAGCCCCCGGCUCAACCGGGGAGGGUCAUUGGAAACUGGGAAACUUGAGUGCAGAAGAGGAGAGUGGAAUUCCACGUGUAGCGGUGAAAUGCGUAGAGAUGUGGAGGAACACCAGUGGCGAAGGCGACUCUCUGGUCUGUAACUGACGCUGAGGAGCGAAAGCGUGGGGAGCGAACAGGAUUAGAUACCCUGGUAGUCCACGCCGUAAACGAUGAGUGCUAAGUGUUAGGGGGUUUCCGCCCCUUAGUGCUGCAGCUAACGCAUUAAGCACUCCNCCUGGGGAGUACGGUCGCAAGACUGAAACUCNNAGGAAUUGACGGGGGCCCGCACAAACGGUGGAGCAUGUGNGUUAUUUCGAAGCAACGCGAAGAACCUUACCAGGGCUUGACAUCCUCUGACAACCCUACAGAUAGGG